rnacentral:rRNA from 1 species
AGUGAACGCUGGCGGUAGGCCUAACACAUGCCAGUCGAGCGGCAGCACAGUAAGAGCUUGCUCUUACGGGUGGCGAGUGGCGGACGGGUGAGGAAUACAUCGGAAUCUAAUUUUUCGUGGGGGAUAACGUAGGGAAACUUACGCUACUACCGCAUACGACCUACGGGUGAAAGCAGAGGAUCUUCGGACCUUGCGCGACUGAAUGAGCCGGUGUCGGAUUAGCUAGUGGGCGAGGUAAAGGCCUACCAAGGCAACGAUGCGUAGCCGACCUGAGAGGAUGAUCGGCCACACGGGAACUGAGACACGGUCCAGACUCCUACGGGAGGCAGCAGUAGGGAAUCUUCCGCAAUGGGCGAAAGCCUGACGGAGCAACGCCGCGUGAGUGAUGAAGGUCUUCGGAUCGUAAAACUCUGUUAUUAGGGAAGAACAUAUGUGUAAGUAACUGUGCACAUCUUGACGGUACCUAAUCAGAAAGCCACGGCUAACUACGUG